UCCUCUGGUGAUACACUGGGUUCCGCAC
rnacentral:piRNA from 1 species